UAGCGGAGGAAAAGAAACCAACAGGGAUUGCCCCAGUAAUGGCGAAUGAAGCGGCAAGAGCCCAAAUUUGAAAUCGGGCAACCGAGUUGUAAUUUGGAGACGGGACACUAGAGAGGAGGAAGGCGAUUAAGUGCCUUGGAACAGGCUGCCGUAGAGGGUGAGAGCCCCGUGAAUCGCUGGAGACCGAUCAAUUAGUGCCCGCCGAAGAGUCGAGUUGUUUGGGAAUGCAGCUCUAAGUGGGUGGUAUAUUCCAUCUAAGGCUAAAUAUUAGCGAGAGACCGAUAGCAAACAAGUACAGUGAUGGAAAGAUGAAAAGAACUUUGGAAAGAGAGUGAAAUAGUACGUGAAAUUGUUGAAAGGGAAGGGUAUUUGAUCCGACAUGGUGUUUAGCAGCGGCCCGUUCCUCGUGGAUGGGUGCACCUGGUUUACACUGGGCCAGCAUCGGUUCUGGGAGCCAUAUACGGGGUUCGUGAAUGUGGCCCUUCGAUUCUGUCGGAGGGUGUUAUAGCGCGGACAUCUUGUGGCUAGCCGGGACCGGGGACUGCGGUGACUUGUCACCAAGGAUGCUGGCAGAACGAGCAAAUACCACCCGUCUUG
rnacentral:rRNA from 1 species